GAGAAGGCAGAUAGGAAAGUAUGUGAUGGUAAAGAAGAAAGACCUGGAACCUUAUGUGGUUGGCACAGAAAAGGCAGCGUAAGGAGACCUGGGUGUGAAGGAAGAAGGACAGAAGCCACCACCUUAUGGCUCUGAAGGAUGGAUUCUGCCAUCACUACAGCCAGCACGCAGCAGCAACAGUAAGGAACAAGAGGUGGCACUUGGUGACACAGUUAGAGGCCAAGUUAGAGCUAGUCCAUAUCAAGAGUAUGGACUCCAAAGCCAGCCAGCCUGGGACAACUGGCCUCCCCACUGACCACGUGAGUGAUGCUAGGAGGGUCGUAUCGUGACUCAGACCACUUUUCUCGCAGUGAAAUUAGGAUAAUAAUAGCAUCAUGCAUCUGACAACACCGUGCUCCACACAGUGACCACUCCACAAAUGUUUAAUGAGUAGAUUGCUCCCCCUGUUCCCAGUCCUGUGGGGAGCGUCCUGGAAGCACUCAUCAUCAUGUGUAGAAUUGGGUGGAGGGAGAAGAGGAGGGACACAUUUUCCACAAGUGGAUGUUUUCUUUGGAAUAUAGGAUUUAGGCCAGGUUAAGAUUUGCCAGGGUAAUUGCCCGUGUAGGUCACUCUCCAGCCACCAGGAGCCCUCUGCUGGUCAGGAAAGCCUGGGCAUCUGGUCUCCAAGAUGGGCCUGAGAAGGACUGGGAAGACUGGUCCAGCCAAGAUAUGCCAGAGCCCCAGCGACUU
rnacentral:lncRNA from 1 species